UACGAAGGGGGCUAGCGUUGCUCGGAAUUACUGGGCGUAAAGGGCGCGUAGGCGGCACUGUUAGUCAGGCGUGAAAGUCCUGGGCUCAACCUGGGAACUGCGCUUGAUACGGCAGAGCUAGAGGAUGGAAGAGGGUCGCGGAAUUCCCAGUGUAGAGGUGAAAUUCGUAGAUAUUGGGAAGAACACCGGUGGCGAAGGCGGCGACCUGGUCUAUUACUGACGCUGAGGCGCGACAGCGUGGGGGAGCAAACAGG
rnacentral:rRNA from 1 species